ensembl:lncRNA uncharacterized LOC114426655
UGAAAGUGAAACUAUGAACAGGGGGCUGUUAAGACCUUUGACUUGAAAGAGUCGAAGCAGAGCAGAGCUAUGGAGUCAAAGGUAAGAGCUCUCUCCUCACAUUCUCUUUAAACAUUAACAGUAAAUCAUUACAUGGUUUCUGAUCAUGUCCAGAAUUUAUCGCUUUUGUUGAUAAACUGUUUUUAAAAUGAAAAUGUUCAAACGUUUUUAUUCUAAAUCUGGAUUCAAAUCAUUUGUUUGCACGCUUCAUUCUCCCUGAAUGUUGACAACAUGGAUUCACAGGAGAGUCCACAACAAGCUGCAGACGCAGACACUCAGACAGUGAUUAAAUGUCCAAAUGACAAUUCAGCUACUGGAGACACUGAUGAUAGCCAGCCAGGCUCACACAAUCAGGCUGAGACCCAAGAUGAAGAGAUGGUCAAACUGCAGUCUAUUCUAAAGAAACUGAAGUGCUCUGAAUUUGAAAACUGUGUUCAAGUUGUUGACGAUUUGAUGAAGAAACCGCAAAUUCUUCACAGUGAUGUUUUGCACCUUCUCACCGCUUUCGUGGAUAGAUUGCCAGAGAAAGAGGAAUCAAAGCCAGCAACCAACCCAUCAUCUUCAUGGUGGGAUUUGAUGUAUCCGUACAAAGUUAGGGUUCAUACUGUUGUUACGGGUCAGACAUUUGGAGCUCAUGAGACCAUGCUGGAAAAUUUGAAGGGAACAUGGACAAUGGUGGAGAUGACAAGCUUGGCAGAAUGUGACAUCAUCAUUGUCUUCUGUCCAAUCACAUCCCGUACUGGCUCUGAUGUGGAAGCAGUCAAGAGACAAGCAGCAGUGUUUUCAAACGAUAAACCAGUAGUUGUGGUGCUGAUGUAUCACAUCAGAGAUGAGGAGUUUUCACCUGGAGGAAGGAAAUGGUUUGAAGAUCCAAGGUGUGUGUUGGAGGUUCAUGUUCUCUUCCACGAGACUCAGAGAGGAUUACUGCAAUGUGCACAAAACGACCAGGCUGUCAGAGAAAUACAAGGAGAGUUAUACAGAUGCAGUAAAUCUCGAUGGUGUCCAUUAUAGUUUAGUGGUUUUAUUUUCCAGCUUUGCAGCCACAGAUUGAAAUCACUUAGUAGUUUGAUCUGCUGUUUUGUGGUCAUGUGAGAAUAUGGUUGCAUCCAGUGUGUGCACCAUGAGUGUGGCUGUGUUAAUAUCUAAACUCAUACUGAUAGAUGGCUUCACUCUGAGCACACAUACAUGUGACCUGCCCUCCACCCACAUUGUGGAAACAAUGUUGAUUUUUGCAUAUAUUUGUUGUGCAUUACAGAACAGCAGAGGGCAGAGUUCACUCAGAUCAUCAAACUAAAGCUGAUAAUGAGGACAUAUGAUAAUAGGAGUUAUUUUUAACUAAAGUGUACAGCACUUGGAGGAAACACCACUACCAUACACACACUAGCAACACGCAGAGUGACACACAAACAAUAUCUACCAGUUCUUUAUAGCUGACAAGCUGAUACAGCGUAGUCUUGAAUGGGUUCUAUGCUGUCCUCACCAAAAGGUGCAGUUGCGGGCAGUGAUUUUAAGAUAGACAGCAUAACAUAUUUCACUGUCAUGUAAUUCCUGCUUCUAUGUCAUCUCUCCCUCUGUGUUGUUUUUAAAAGGUUUAUGUAUGUCUGAGUUUGUAUACAUCUUGAGGGACACUACAAAAACUGAGGUCUGCUUCUAAAAGCAUUCACAGCUCUGUAGCACCUCCCAGAGGUGAGAAGAUGGAACUGUUUGAUAUUGUUCAAUAUUUAUGUUUCCUGUUAUACAUUUCAGUGUCUGCAUGACAUCAAAUAAACAAUAAUAAAUGGACA